rnacentral:rRNA from 1 species
GUGGGGAAUCUUGCGCAAUGGACGAAAGUCUGACGCAGCCACGCCGCGUGAGUGAAGAAGGCCUUCGGGUUGUAAAGCUCUGUCGGGCGGGACGAAAAUCAUUGGUGUUAACAGCGCCAGUGACUGACGGUACCGCCAAAGGAAGCACCGGCUAACUUCGUGCCAGCAGCCGCGGUAAUACGAGGGGUGCAAGCGUUGCUCGGAAUUAUUGGGCGUAAAGGGCAGGUAGGUGGUCUCGUUUGUCUGGGGUGAAAUCCUUGGGCUUAACCCAAGAAGUGCCUCGGAAACGGCGAGACUAGAGUACUGGAGAGGGUCGUGGAAUACCCGGUGUAGCGGUGAAAUGCGUAGAGAUCGGGUGGAACACCAGAGGCGAAGGCGGCGACCUGGACAGUAACUGACACUCAACUGCGAAAGCGUGGGGAGCAAACAGGAUUAGAAACCCGAGUAGUCC